AGCGUUUGGUUCGUCGUGCGGGUGUAGCUCUCUAGAACCUAUCUAUAUCUGUACAAUUCCUAGCGGUACCAACUCUGCAGAGAUCCAAUUCGGUUCUUGGGAUUCUCUAGACAGCGUGCUUUAUUUUUUGUCGCAUUCAACUUGCAAUUUAUGUGGCUAAUUAGAACAAAAGAAGGCGGCGGCAGUGGACCAUUAGUGCGUGACUCUCGAAUGCUGUGAGUGCUGCGCAUCCGUCAGGUUGCGUGUGCCGCGCCCCUUCCGCCCACCAAAAAAGAAGCAAAAGCCAUAAGACAACGUGCCGGAAAACAAAAAAUAAUAAUACACUUCGGUUAUCAAAACACUUGAAAAGAACUGGAAAAAGGCAACCCAAAAAUCUGCAGUGCAAAAAACAAAAAAAAACGGGAAACGGGAAAAAGGAAUUGAAAUUUAGGGCAAAAGCGGAUUACGGGGAAAGCAAAAACAUCCGAAAGCGGAAAAUAAAUCCAAGUGUGCGGGAAAAACAAGAGAACUGAAAAGUGAAUUGCGGAAAAUUGAGAAUUGAGAAAAUGCGUAGAGCAGAUAGACCCAAGUAAAUCAUAUGGAAAUGUGAACGCGUCACGCUGCCUCAUUAACGUUUUCGGCCACCUCUCGGCCGCUUCUCCAUUACCGUUGCGUGCGGAUCAUCAAUUAAUUCCAGUCAGUUUUCGCACUUUAAGCGCCAAAAAAGCAGCAAUCGAGAAAAAAUUGCAAUCGUACAAAGAAAGAGCAGAAAUUAAUGACACAAUAACGCACUGCGGUUUCGUUUGUAGUGGUCAUCGUGUAUCUGUAUUUGUGUACGGGAUCGUUGAGUGUGUGUGAGUGUGUGUUGUUUCGCAGCUCCAAAGUGUGAGCAACAGUUCAGUUUGAAUAUAUAUAUAGCCAUAUAUGUAUAGACCACCCCCUCUGAUUCUGAACGGAUCGGUCGCGUGGCAUACCAUUUAUCACAAUUGUCAUCGUGAGGAGUGAAAGUGCAUGGAGUCAUCCAGCAGAUACAAAUUGUUUAUGCAGACAUCUUCCCGAAUACGGGUCAGUGCAUUAGAACAAUAGCUGCGAGCUGCAAAAGUUUUGCCUGCCGCCUCUGUUGGCUAAGCAAAAACAUAAAUUAAACUUACCAGUUCCCAGUUACCAGUUACCAGUUGCCAGUCGGAGGAAGGCCUUGAAAGUUCCUCUGCCUUUUGGAUUAGCAAAACGAGAGGAAAACACUAAAAAGCCGGGGAUUCCCCACAAACACUACGCCAGAAAAAGUGAAACGAGAAUGUCCAUAAAAGGCGAAAUAAACAUGUAAAAGCACAUUAAGCGAUGCUACGGACUUGAUCUGAGUCACAUGGACAUGCAUUUGUAAAUGUCGGCGGAAAUGCUCUUUUUAUGGGCCAAGAGUACAUUGGCGCUUCAUUAAAGCCAACGGCGGAAGCGGAAAUAGCCGAGCGGCCAUAACAAGAAAGACGCGUGUUCUUCUCUCUAUUUUUUUCUGUUGGCGCCGCCAGGUCACGCAAUUGCCAACUGCAGUUGGCCUGCGAAAUUGCAACAUUCUGUACUCCUUUUGCACUUCUUUGGGGUUUCUUUGACACUUUGGUCAAAUUGAAGUUCGCCACAUAAAUGACGAGACGUUCUCGCGUUUGGCACAACGCACCGCAAGCACAACAAAAUGACAGCCAUGCAGCUUUUAUUGCCAACAGGCGGAGUACCAACAGCAACAGUGGAAACCGAAACAACAGCCAUGCAAACGACAUAUUGGCAGGAGAAAUCCUCCAACAGCAAAAACAACUUCAACACACAUCGAAAAUCACGGACGAGAUGCCCGGACAAUGGGAAAACGAUUUGGGCUGUCGGCUUGACGAUGGUCCUGCUGACUUGCCUGCAGCAGCUAAAAUCGGUUUCGGCGGACGAGGAGUCGCAGGAUUUUCAAAAGAACAUACCCGCUCGAUUGGUUUGGGCCGCCUUGGGCAAAACCGUGGAGCUGCCCUGCGACUUGACGCCACCCACGUCACAGGAUUCGGUGAAGCUGCUGCUAUGGUUCAAGGACACCACGGGCAUUCCUCUGUACAGCCUGGACUCGCGGGGCGGAAACGUGAAAUUGGCGCCACAUGCGGCCAUAGCUAGCGAUCUGGGGCAACGUCUGUUCUUCAGCAUCGGCGAUAAUCCAAAGGAUUCCCGCCUGCAGAUCAACGAUGUGAAGCCGGAGGAUGGCGGCGUCUAUCGGUGUCGCGUCGACUUCUUCAACUCCCCGACACGCAACUUCAGGCACAACCUGACCUUAGUUGUGCCUCCCGAGGAGCCGCGCAUCUUCGAUGCCCAGGGCAAGGAGAUAGCCCAGAUGGCAGGACCGUUCCGAGAGGGCUAUGAGCUCUUCCUCUGCUGUCAAGUGAGGGGAGGACGUCCCCCGCCCAAAGUCACCUGGUGGCGCGAUGACACCGAGCUAAUCGGCACCAGCCACACAUCCGUGGAGGAGGGCACCCCCGUGAUGGUUAAUCAGCUGCUGAUUGGAACCACCACGCGGGACUUUUACGGAAUUCGCAUUGAGUGCCGGGCACAGGGAACGAGACUGGUGGAACCGGUCCGCAAGGAUGUCACCGUGCAGGUUUACUUAAAACCUGUCCGCGUGAAAAUCGCAACGCCCAACGACUUGCUGACCGCCGGACAUCCCGUGCCUAUUCGCUGCGACUCCUGGGGCUCAUAUCCUGCGGCCAAGAUCACCUGGCUGCUGGAUGGCGAGCCCAUCCGGAAUGCCGAGGUCACCGUGCACAGCGACAAGGAGGACGGCAAUAUCACCACCAGCAUCCUGACAUUGAAGGUAACAUCUGAGAACGAUAAUGCCGAGCUGACGUGUCGCGCCACGAAUCCCUGGUUCUCCGGUGGCGCCAUCGAGGACAAGCGCAUCAUCCGAGUGGCAUAUCCACCCACAGUAUCGGUGCACUUGGCCAAUGAGGAUCCCAGCCGACUGGUGACCAGGGCCGAGGGACAGAAUGUCACUUUCAAAUGCCGGGCGGAUGCCAGACCGCCGGUUACCAGCUACUCCUGGUUCAAGAAUGGCAUGCGAAUGUCGGGCGAGAGCACGGAAAUAAUGCACUUGACGCAGCUCGAGAGGGAAAGUGCGGGGGCGUAUGCCUGCGGGGCCACAAAUACGGAGGGCGAAACCCGGAGUUCGAGCCUCACUUUAAAAGUGCAGUUUUCCCCGCGCUGUAAAUCGGGCACCGAACAAACCUCCAUUGGAGCCGUCAGUCUUCACUCUAUCCUGGUCAAAUGCGAGGUGGAUGCUGAUCCACCGGACUCCGUGCGCUUCAGUUGGACGUACAACAAUACCAGGAAUGUGUCUCCGGUGCUCAACUCAAGGAUACAAUCGAACGGACUGGCCAGCACGGUGACGUAUCUGCCGCAGACGGACUCCGAGUUAAUAACGCUGGCCUGCUGGGCCAGCAAUGCGGUGGGCCGCCAAACGACGCCCUGUCUGGUGCACAUCCUGCCGGCAAACACUCCGGAGGCACCAAAGGCCUGCGAGUUGCGCAACGACACUGUCCUGGAGGUGGUUUGUGUGGCAGGCAGUGACGGCGGCCUUUCGCAAUACUUCAUGCUGGAGGUGGUGGGCGGCGACCCGCUGUACGCCGGUGAUCCAGGUGGAUCGGUGGGACAAGGACGAGGUCAGUUCAGCGAGGCUAUUGGCCUGGGCGACAACGAGAUAUCCACUCUGAAUGAUCAGGCGACAUCUGCACCCAUCUUCCGCAUGCAGGAGAACAGUCCACAGUUUCGUUUGAAUAAUUUAGAGCCGGGACGUGAAUAUCAAUUUUUAGUUUACGCCGUCAACGCCAAAGGACGAAGCGAGCCGCCGGUGGUGAUUGAGAAUGUACGCGUGGCCGCCCAACUGGGACCAUAUGAUGAAUCCAUUCUGUCCGAGGACCCAACGCCCGCAGAAACAACGCAUCAUGGAGGCGGUGGCGUGGGCGGGAGCGGAAGCUCCAGCGGUCUGGGCACCGGCGCCAGCACGGGCAGCGGUCCGGAGAAGCAGUCGACGCUGCUGAUACUAGCCGCCGUCGUGGUGAUAGGCGCCGUUGUGGUGACGUCAAUUAUCGUAGCCGGCAUCGUCGUGGUCUGCCGGCACCGGCCGCGACCACCUGAGCCGCAGGAGGUGCGCAAGAGCAUGCGGCCUGCGAGAAACGAUGUGCCAAGCAUGUACAUCGAGGAGGACGAGCUGAACGAGCUGGAGGAGGGAGGCGGACGAGCGGCGGAUAUUAGGGCACGAGUGGCCCCGCCCAAUGCCCACCUGUGCGGCGGCGGUGGAAUGCCGAUGCCUGGAGGAGUGGGGUCAAGUGGCGGUGCCAUUGUGGGUGUGGCCGGACCCCAUCACUACAUCUCCGAGAGCUUCAUCCAGUAUGCGCAGCCCAGCCUAAACGGCGACGUGCUGCUGCCCCUGCUCGUAACAUCCAGCCAGCCUUGCACCACCAACUCCACCAUCUCGAGCAUGGUCCUGGCCAUGCCACAGGCGAAACUAUGUCCUGAUCCUGCGAGCCGUAACACUGCCUGGCCGCCCGAAUGUAUGCAAAGUAAAUUUUAUGUAACUAAAUCUGUGCAGCAGGUCGAACGACUACGCACACAGGACCAAAACCAGAAACAGACAAAGAUACAGAUACUGAAACAGGAACAACUGCAGUUGCAACUGCAGCAGAUGGGCAGUCAUGUCUAAGCUGAGUUCUCUCUACUGUCGAAUUUGGCAGUGGGAAAAGGCGGGGUAGUAUGGUGGAUUUGCUCCACUCCUCUCAAACCCGGAUCUGAUAUUGCCGCGCGGCGAAUUGGAAUUUACGACCCUGGAUCCAACGCUGAAGUAAUUGUAAAAAGUAAUAAUAAAUAUCUACCAUAGUCAGCCACACACACACAUACAAGCACACACACACACACACAAAGGCCUCAUAAUUCACGGGCAUUUCAUUUAACAUAGCUGUAAAUUUUUAGCAUAAAUUUAAAUGCAUUAGCGUAAAAAGGUAACUCGUAUUGCGUAAUGUUUAAGCGGAAAGAGAUAAAGUUAAGCCAUUUUGUAAUUGUCAGAGCCAUUAAGUGUCAUACGAACUGCAAAUUGCGAAUGCAAAAUCAAAAUGUUAAGAACCCAAAAGCUGCGCUAUAAAUACGCUACAAACUUGUAACUGAAAUCAAAAUAUAAAACUUGUAAAUAAAACAAAUACAAAACAAAACACAAACUACAAUACACUACACUACAUAGACACUCAUUUUGCUGUUGCACCAUCCACUGUACAUAGAGAACGGGCAAACAUUAAUCAAACUGCAUUUAAAUGUUAAAUAUUAAUUGUAAUUAAUGAACAACUAGCCCGUAAGCCAGCGUAGUUAAGUAAGCUGUGUGUAUUGAAAGUGUAAUUAGACUCAUAGAGCCAACUAAGAGUUAUUGGCCAACAGAUACGAGUGCUGUACAAGGUAUCUAUCUAUCUGCCGCCUCGGAUGUGUGCAACUAUCUGGGCGUUGAGCCAAUCGAAGAGCCGUUCAUCAAAUAAUGUCUGCAUAGCGAUAUAGGAUUCAUUAGCAUUAGUUAAGGCCCCAACCAGUUGCUGUCCGGCAAAAUUAAAAUGUUUCAAACUCGAGCUCUUAAACUUUCCUGGGAUCCAGGCCCACACUUUUCCGAUCUGAACUGACAUUUUUCGUCGCUAUUUAUGGCAAUUCCAUGAAUAUUCUAUUACCACAAUAAGCCGAACCGUACAGAAACGUAACGGCAAAGAUGAAUAACAACCGAAAAACAAACAACAGCCAACAGCCAAGUGGGCGAUGUUCGAGUGCAUAAUGAAUAAAUGUCGAGUGAACAGCCAAUUCCCAGAGUCCUUAACAAUUCCACUCACACAGGACCUCUAGACGCAAACUACAACGCAAACAAUAAAUGCGAGUUCAGUGUAAAUGUUAUAAAUAACUAAAGUAACCGAGCAAAAGUACGACAUAAAAAUAAUAAUAAUAAUAAUAAUAAUACGCCAUACAGUUUACACAAUACUCCAAUGUAAUUCGAAUUCUAAUUUCAAAUAUACAAACAUAAAGUGAAAUGGCAGACUAGCAAAAUAUACUGUGCGUAUGCGUAAUAAAAUAAAUUGAUAUAUAUAUAUAUAUAUAAAUAUAUAUAGAUACAUAUAAAUGGAAACACCGGGGGCAAGCCAUCCGUUUGCCCCCGCAUGUCGUUCUCUGUCUCUGUCACUCUGGACAAAACCAAACUGAUUGUUUUUAAGCAAAGUUAGAUUUAUAAAUAAAUUAAAUUUAAAAACGAAUGAGAAAACGCAAACUUAAAAGUGAAAUACAUUAAAAACUAAGUCGAAACUACUGAGUGUGUUAAUAAUAAUAAUAAUAAUAAUACCGAAUACUGAAUAAAUAAACAAGA